rnacentral:rRNA from 1 species
AGCGAACGUUAGCGGCGGGCCUAACACAUGCAAGUCGAACGCGAAAGGUCUUCGGACUGAGUAGAGUGGCGCACGGGUGAGUAACACGUAGGUAAUCUACCCUUUGGCGGGGAUAACGUUCCGAAAGGAGCGCUAAUACCGCAUAAGACCACGGAGUCUCCGGACGCUGUGGGAAAAGGUGGCCUCUUCUUGAAAGCUACCACCGAAGGAUGAGCCUGCGUCCCAUCAGCUAGUUGGUAAGGUAAUGGCUUACCAAGGCGAAGACGGGUAGCUGGCUUGAGAGAAUGAUCAGCCACACUGGCACUGGAACACGGGCCAGACUCCUACGGGAGGCAGCAGUGAGGAAUAUUGGGCAAUGGGCGAAAGCCUGACCCAGCCACGCCGCGUGAGUGAUGAAGGCCCUCGGGUCGUAAAGCUCUGUGGAGAGGGACGAAAACCCUGGUUUCAAAUAGGCUCCAGGCUUGACGGUACCUCUUUAGCAAGCACCGGCUAACUCUGUGCCAGCAGCCG